rnacentral:rRNA from 1 species
UACGAGGGGGGCGAGCGUUGUUCGGAAUUAUUGGGCGUAAAGGGUGCGUAGGCGGUUUGGUAAGUCUGAUGUGAAAUCUAUGGGCUCAACUCAUAGUCUGCAUCGGAAACUGCCGGGCUUGAGUAUGGGAGAGGUGAGUGGAAUUCCUGGUGUAGCGGUGAAAUGCGUAGAUAUCAGGAGGAACACCUGUGGCGAAAGCGGCUCACUGGACCAUAACUGACGCUAAAGCGCGACAGCAUGGGGAGCAAACGGG